UACGAAGGGGGCUAGCGUUGUUCGGAAUUACUGGGCGUAAAGCGCGUGUAGGCGGGUCCUUAAGUCAGGGGUGAAAUGCCGAGGCUCAACCUCGGAACUGCCUUUGAUACUGGGGAUCUUGAGUCCGGGAGAGGUGAGUGGAACUGCGAGUGUAGAGGUGAAAUUCGUAGAUAUUCGCAAGAACACCAGUGGCGAAGGCGGCUCACUGGCCCGGAACUGACGCUGAGACGCGAAAGCGUGGGGAGCGAACAGG
rnacentral:rRNA from 1 species